GGUUGCCACAUCCAGGCAACAUUUUCUAACUGUUAUGACUUCUAUCCCAAGACCUCCUAGGUGCUCACAGGAUUGAUAGAAAGAUGUUGGAGUAAUUUGAACCAGAAUCUGGCUGCUAGGUUCAGCCCAAAUCAUUCUUGUAAAUUUGAUUGGGUCGGGUCCAGUUGACAAUUCUAUUUUUUUAAUAACUGAUGGAAAAUUUAGAUUAGGUCCGGUUGGUUGGAUUUGUUUCCCACUUAUUUAUUGGGGGU
rnacentral:lncRNA from 1 species